GUGCUUGCUUUGGCAGCAUAUAUACUAAAAUUGGAAUGAUACGGAGAAGAUUAGCAUGGCCCCUGUGCAAGGAUGACAUGCAAAAAAAAAACAAAAACAAAAACAAA
rnacentral:snRNA from 1 species